rnacentral:rRNA from 1 species
AGAGUUUGAUCCUGGCUCAGGACGAACACUGGCGGUAUGCUUAACACAUGCAAGUCGAACGAGACAAAAGAGAAGUGCUUGCACGGAUCUUUUAGAAAGUGGCGAACGGGUGAGUAACGCGUGGGUAACCUACCCUAUGGAAAGGAAUAGCCUCGGGAAACUGGGAGUAAUGCCUUAUAAGAUAUAUUUGUCGCAUGGCAGAUGUAUUAAACGCUCCGGUGCCAUAGGAUGGACCCGCGUCCCAUUAGCUAGUUGGUGAGAUAACAGCUCACCAAGGCGACGAUGGGUAACCGGUCUGAGAGGGCGAACGGUCACACUGGAACUGAGACACGGUCCAGACUCCUACGGGAGGCAGCAGUGGGGAAUAUUGCGCAAUGGGGGAAACCCUGACGCAGCAAUACCGCGUGAGUGAAGAAGGUUUUCGGAUCGUAAAGCUCUGUUAUUGGGGAAGAAAAAAAGACGGUACCCAAGAAGAAAGUCCCGGCUAACUACGUGCCAGCAGCCGCGGUAAUACGUAGGGGACAAGCGUUGUCCGGAUUUACUGGGCGUAGAGGGCACGCAGGCGGUUUUUUAAGUCAGAUGUGAAAGGUACCGGCUCAACCGGUGACAUGCAUUUGAAACUGAAAGACUUGAGUAUUGGAGAGGCAAGUGGAAUUCCUAGUGUAGCGGUGAAAUGCGUAGAUAUUAGGAGGAACACCGGUGGCGAAGGCGGCUUGCUGGACAAAUACUGACGCUGAGGUGCGAAAGCGUGGGGAGCAAACAGGAUUAGAUACCCUGGUAGUCCACGCCGUAAACGAUGAGUGCUAGGUGUUGGGGAGACUCAGUGCCGCAGCUAACGCAAUAAGCACUCCGCCUGGGGAGUACGACCGCAAGGUUGAAACUCAAAGGAAUUGACGGGGACCCCCACAAGCAGCGGAGCAUGUGGUUUAAUUCGAAGCAACGCG